UGACUUUGACGUAAAAUGCAUCGGUCUGC
rnacentral:piRNA from 1 species